AAUGAACGCUGGCGGCGCGCCUAAUACAUGCAAGUCGAGCGAGAAGACGUAGCAAUACGUUUGUAAAGCGGCGAACGGGUGAGGAAUACAUGGGUAACCUACCCUCGAGUGGGGAAUAACUAGCCGAAAGGUUAGCUAAUACCGCGUACGCUUCUUGGACUUCGGUUCAGGGAGGAAAGCGAUACCGUGGGUAUCGCGCUCUUGGAUGGGCUCAUGUCCUAUCAGCUUGUUGGNGAGGUAACGGCUCACCAAGGCUUCGACGGGUAGCUGGUCUGAGAGGACGAUCAGCCACACUGGCACUGCGACACGGGCCAGACUCCUACGGGAGGCAGCAGUAAGGAAUAUUGCGCAAUGGGCGAAAGCCUGACGCAGCGACGCCGCGUGGGGGAUGAAGGUCUUCGGAUUGUAAACCCCUUUC
rnacentral:rRNA from 1 species